rnacentral:ncRNA from 1 species
AGUAAUACAGUGAAGAGAACAAGUAAGACAGAGGGUAUCUUUCAGAGAGUAUUCGGUUGGUGUGAGAAUACAGAUAUUCUGUUCUGAAUACAUCUUGGAGUAGCUGCCUGAAAUAAUAGUAGGGUAUGACGGGAGCGCCCGAUAUAGCGUUAGGAUUUUAUCCUGCUGAGAAAGACCUAGUCUUUGAAGCAGAGGUGGUACCGCGAUAACUCGCCCUCUGU